UCGAGUUGGGGAUGCAGUGAUCCGCGGGCCGAAGUCGGUCACCUCUCGCAUCAGGCGAGUGGCGCGCGGGGAGCAAGUGGUGAGACCGCCCCCUUGA
rnacentral:ncRNA from 1 species